CGUCCAUGAUCUGGGGGCAGAUGAAGUGAACGUGGCAGUCGAUUGCACCGGCGGUGACGAUCUUUCCGUUGCCGGCGAUGAUCUCGGUCGACGGGCCGAUCACGAGAUCGGGGUGCACACCGGACAUCGUGUCCGGGUUCCCGGCCUUGCCGAGUGCAACUAUUCGGCCGUCUCGAAUGCCGAUGUCUGCCUUGAUGAUCCCCCAGUGGUCGACGAUCACAGCUCCGGUGAUGACGGUAUCGGGGGCUCCGUCGGCUCGGGUGGCACGUGACUGUCCCAUCGAUUCACGAAUG
rfam:Rhodococcus sp. CTA-806 NODE_55_length_61475_cov_4.7783_ID_109, whole genome shotgun sequence.